UACAGAGGUCUCAAGCGUUGUUCGGAUUCAUUGGGCGUAAAGGGUGCGUAGGCGGCUGAGCAAGUCAGGUGUGAAAUCCCGGGGCUCAACCCUGGAACUGCACUUGAUACUGCUUUGCUAGAGUACUGGAGAGGAGAUUGGAAUUUACGGUGUAGCAGUGAAAUGCGUAGAUAUCGUAAGGAAGACCAGUGGCGAAGGCGAAUCUCUGGACAGUUACUGACGCUGAGGCACGAAGGCCAGGGGAGCAAACGGG
rnacentral:rRNA from 1 species